rnacentral:rRNA from 1 species
AUGGGACACUUUGGCGUGAAGAAGACGGAGGACGUACUUGCUACACAUUUCUUUUGGCCAAAGAUGAGACGGGAUGUUGAGCGUUUUAUUGCUCGCUGCACUACAUGUCAAAAAGCUAAGUCACGACUCAAUCCUCAUGGUUUAUAUAUGCCUUUGCCUGUACCUAGUGUUCCUUGGGAGGAUAUAUCUAUGGACUUUAUUUUAGGUUUACCUCGAACAAAGAAGGGGAGGGAUAGCAUAUUUGUUGUCGUGGAUAGAUUCUCGAAAAUGGCACACUUUAUACCAUGUCAUAAAAGUGAUGAUGUUGUUAAUGUUGCUGAUUUGUUCUUUCGUGAAAUUAUUCGCUUGCAUGGUGUGCCAAAUACUAUUGUUUCAGAUCGUGAUACUAAAUUUCUUAGCCACUUUUGGAGAUGUUUAUGGUCUAAGUUGGGGACUAAACUGCUUUUUAGUACUACUUGUCACCCCCAAACUGAUGGCCAAACUGAAGUAGUCAAUAGAACAUUGUCUACUAUGCUUAGGGCUGUUUUGAAGAGUAAUAAGAAAAUGUGGGAGGAAUGCUUGCCUCAUAUUGAAUUUGCUUAUAAUCGUUCAUUGCAUUCUACUACUAAGAUGUGCCCUUUUGAAGUUGUGUAUGGUUUCCUACCUCGUGCACCUAUUGAUUUGUUGCCUCUUCCAUCUUCGGAGAAGGUUAAUUUUGAUGCUAAACAACGUGCUGAAUUGAUUUUAAAAAUGCAUGAGUUAACUAAGGAAAACAUUGAGCGUAUGAAUGCCAAAUAUAAACUUGCUGGAGAUAAGGGUAGGAAACAUGUUGUGUUUGCACCUGGAGAUCUUGUUUGGUUACAUUUGCGUAAGGAUAGAUUUCCUGAUUUGCGCAAAUCAAAGCUCAUGCCACGGGCUGAUGGUCCCUUUAAGGUGUUAGAGAAAAUAAAUGAUAAUGCAUAUAAACUUGAGCUGCCUGCAGAUUUUGGGGUUAGUCCCACUUUUAACAUUGCAUAUUUGAAGCCUUAUUUGGGUGAGGAAGAUGAGCUUCCGUCAAGGACGACUUCAUUUCAAGAAGGGGAGGAUGAUGAGGACAUCAAUACCAUUGUUACACCCACAGCCCCUGCUGCUAUACAUACUGGACCAAUUACUAGAGCUCGCGCACGCCAACUAAAUUACCAGGUACUUUCGUUUCUUGGUAAUGAUUCUAAUGUUCAUGAGAAUAUGAUGCUGCCUAAAUUGGAUACAUUUGUUUUGCUUACAAAUGAAGGGCCUAGCUUGGAGAAGGAUGAACAUUGGAGCAAGAACAAGCAUGGAGAUGAUGGCAUGCGCAAGGGGAACAAGAACAGAGUUACAAGUGAUGAUUUCAGGUCUUUGAAGCCACCAUAA